GGGCUCUUGGCGCAGCUGGUAGCGCGUUUUUCUUAUGUGCAUGAAAGGUCGUUGGUUCGAUUCCUAGUGUUCA